rnacentral:rRNA from 1 species
GCGUGUGUGAUGAAGGCCUUAGGGUUGUAAAGCACUUUCAACUGUGAAGAUGAUGACGGUAGCAGUAGAAGAAGCCCCGGCUAACUCCGUGCCAGCAGCCGCGGUAAUACGGAGGGGGCUAGCGUUGUUCGGAAUUACUGGGCGUAAAGCGCGCGUAGGCGGACCAGCCAGUCAGAGGUGAAAUCCCCGGGCUCAACCCGGGAACUGCCUUUGAUACUGUUGGUCUCGAGUCCGGAAGAGGGUAGUGGAAUUCCAAGUGUAGAGGUGAAAUUCGU